rnacentral:lncRNA from 1 species
CGGCAUGAAAGGCGGCGAGGAGAGGCAGCACUGCUGCUCUUGACUUCUGAGCAGGGCUUAGAGAGCCUGCCCCGGCUUAAGCCGAGCUGCUGGUGCUGACCCUGAGCGCCGAGUCCGCGAGCUCUGAGUCCGGAGCCUCCCAGCCGUGGAGCCGUGGGAUGAGGGGGGCGUUGGGGGACAGGGCAAAGUCGAUCUUGGUUGUACAGCCGCCCGAUCCUAGCGCGGAGCUGCGAGCCUGACCGGCCGCGUCUGGCAUGGUCAGAGAAAGAAUUUUCUUUUCCCAACUCCGGCUUUUGGUUUUGUGCGUCCACCUUGCGCAACUCCGGAGCCAGCCGACCCCACAUGGAUUCUCAACAGGUGGCCGGGAAAGUCUGGAGACUCACCAAGCUGAGGAGGAAGAAGGGAACAUCUCAACCCAAGCGGAAUUCUGAAGAACACUUGGCCCCACCUUCCAGAAAUCCUAAAUCACACAGAGGGAAAGUUUUGGCCAGGGCACCAAGAAUGAACCAGAAGCUGAGUCCAUUACUCCAAUUUUCACAUUAACCAGGAGACACACUGAAAAUUGUUUUCUUGAGUGAGAGACUGAAAUUUUGGCUCAAGGGUGUUUCUUUUGGGUCUUCUCUUUAUAUGGCAUGUGAGGACUGCAUCCCAUGUCACAUCUGCAGCCACUCCCAAAUUACACUGCAAGGGAGGGUAGAUUAGGAGUGGGUAGGGAGUAGAGGGGUCUCUAGACACAGCAAAAGCAGCAAGCUGGUGUAGGAAAACCCAGAAAAUAUGUCUCAGAGACAGCCAGUGGCUGCACAUACAAAAGGAAGGCACCUACCUGGAAGAGAAGGGGUUGUGAAGUUCUGCCCAGAGUCACAGCGUUGACGUCCUCAGAAGGUCUCCAGCCCUCUGUAGCAAUCUAUAG